rnacentral:rRNA from 1 species
GUGAAAUGCGUAGAUAUCUGGAGGAACACCGGUGGCGAAGGCGGCAUCCUGGACCGGCAUUGACGCUGAUGAGCGAAAGCCAGGGGAGCAAACGGGAUUAGAUACCCCGGUAGUCCUGGCCCUAAACGAUGAAUGCUUGGUGUGGCGGGUAUCGAUCCCUGCCGUGCCGAAGCUAACGCAUUAAGCAUUCCGCCUGGGGAGUACGGUCGCAAGACUGAAACUCAAAGGAAUUGACGGGGGCCCGCACAAGCGGUGGAGCAUGUGGUUCAAUUAGACGCAACGCGAAGAACCUUACCCAGGCUUGAACUGCGAGUGACCACUCCCGAAAGGGAGCUUCCGCAAGGACACUCGUAGAGGUGCUGCAUGGCUGUCGUCAGCUCGUGUCGUGAGAUGUUGGGCUAAGUCCCGCAACGAGCGCAACCCUUGUCUGCUGUUGCCAUCAGGUUAUGGUGGGCACUCUGCAGAGACUGCCGGUGAUAAACCGGAGGAAGGUGGGGAUGACGUCAAGUCAGCAUGGCCUUUAUGUCUGGGGCUACACACGUGCUACAAUGGCAGAUACAAACCGUCGCGAGACCGCAAGGUGGAGCCAAUCGGAUAAAGUCUGUCUCAUUUCGGAUAGCAGGCUGCAACUCGCCUGCGUGAAGUUGGAAUCGCUAGUAAUCGCGGAUCAGCACGCCGCGGUGAAUACGUUCCCGGGCCUUGUACACACCGCCCGUCACAUCACGAAAGCCGGUUGUACUAGAAGUCGCCACACUAACCCGCAAGGGAGGGAGGCGCCUAAGGUAUGGUCGGUGAUUGGGGUGAAGUCGUAACAAGGUAACCGU